rnacentral:rRNA from 1 species
UACGGGGGGGGCAAGCGUUGUUCGGAAUUACUGGGCGUAAAGGGCUCGUAGGCGGCCAACUAAGUCAGACGUGAAAUCCCUGGGCUCAACCCAGGAACUGCGUCCAAGACUGGGAGGCUUGAAUCCGGGAGAGGGAUGCGGAAUUCCAGGUGUAGCGGUGAAAUGCGUAGAUAUCUGGAGGAACACCGGUGGCGAAGGCGGCAUCCUGGACCGGUAUUGACACUGAGGCGCGAAAGCCAGGGGAGCAAACGGG